rnacentral:tRNA from 1 species
UGGUGUUAGCUCAGUGGUUAGAGCACCUACUACCUAUGUACGAAGUCAUGGGUUCGAGUCACCAUGGGGGCAG